rnacentral:lncRNA from 1 species
AAUGACCCUGCAAAGCAAACAAUUUAGGGUUAGAAAAUUCUAAGGAGCUACAGAAACAUGGUGAAAGCACAAGUGCAGUGGAAUCUCGUUGAUACAAUCUUCACGGGAACCGGAAAAUAAAAUGUAUCACCCGAAAAGCGUAUCAUCCAAAAUACAUUACGCCUAAGACAUUGGCCGAGAAAAGAACAACAAACGUAUUAUCCUGAAAAAUGUAUUAUACAGAAUCGUAUCAACGAGAUUCCACUUGUUAUGAAGACGAAGA